CCUACGGGUGGCAGCAGUGAGGGAUAUUGGUCAAUGGGGGAAACCCUGAACCAGCAACGCCGCGUGAGGGAAGACGGUUUUCGGAUUGUAAACCUCUGUCCUCUGUGAAGAUAAUGACGGUAGCCGAGGAGCAAGCUCCGGCUACCUACGUGCCAGCAUCCGCGGUCAUACGUAGGGAGCAAGCUGUGUCCGGAUUUACUGGGUGGAAAGGGUGCGGAGGAGGCUUUGCAAGUUAGAAGUGAAAUCCAUGGGCUUAACCCAUGAACUGCUGUUGAAACUGGAGGGGUUGAGUGGAGUAGAGGUAGGCGGAAUGCCCGGUGUAGCGGUGAAAUGCGUAGAGAUCGGGCAGAACACCAGUGGCGAAGGCGGCCUACUGGGCUCUAACUGACGCUGAGGCACGAAAGCGUGGGUAGCAAACAGGAGUAGAUACCCUUGUAGUC
rnacentral:rRNA from 1 species